rnacentral:pre_miRNA from 1 species
AGCCAGCGCAGACUAGCGUGCUCCAGCCGUCUCGGGGCGAGUGCCUCUUUGGGAGGCUCACUCUCAAGCACGACUAGGAGG